rnacentral:lncRNA from 1 species
AAACAUAUUGGAUAUCUUAUAAAUUAAAUUCAUUUAUCACUUAUAAUUUAAACAGUCUCAUAAUUUAGUUUUGGCGAAAGUUCACACCAGAAAGAAAAAUCCCAUGGAGGUAAAAAAAAUAAAAAUGGUUCUGCUGAAUGUUCCUGUGAAGAGCAAAUAAGUAGUCAGUCCUGCACGGCUUCUUCACGUUGUGUCCCCACACACAAGUCACACAACUGAGAACAUACUCCAUCUGUCUCAGUCAAUUGGAGGCGUUUCUUUUUCACUGCAUGCAUUUUAAGACUCCUAUAUAACAAGCUACCAGAUUCCCUAAUGAUUUUCUCCAUGACAUCGCAGUAGAAGUAAAUCCAACUAUUCCACCUACAAUCAAUAACAAAGAAUUAGACCACGAAAUCGACUAUGCACAGAGUACACACUCUCAAUCCAAGAUCAACAUAACCAUUUCACUAAGCUUAUUCUGACUUAUAAGUCAAAACUCCAGGAUCAAGAUAACUACUUAACUAAGCUUGUUAGUGUGUGUAAAGACAGAGCAAUGCUAGUACCCCAUGGGAGGAGUAUUGCCUGUUGGAAUAUUUGUUUAAUCUAAACUUGUGUUAAAAUAAAUUAUUGUUAGCAGGUGGUUUAGUUUGUAUGUAUUAGCAGGAGAGAUAUGAUAGGAGAGUCAUGGGUAGUUGAAGUAUUUUAGGAGUCCACUACGUUAGUUGCUAUUUUUGUGUUACCACCUUGUGCCUGUAGUUCUAUUUAAAUUGCAUGUAUCUUGUUUAGUUCAUUAUUAGAAGAAGAGAAUACAAUGUAGUCUUUAUGUAUCUUCUCCGUUUAUUCAUAUAAAACUACAAUCUCUAUAUCCUUAUUAUUAUUUUUAUCAAAUUUCAACAUGGUACCAGAGCUUGGGGGAGUAUCAAUGUGACGCCCCCAGAUCCGCAUUCCGCAGAUUUGGUCCAUCACUAUANUGUGACGCCCCCAGAUCCGCAUUCCGCAGAUUUGGUCCAUCACUAUACAUCUGGCCCAAAACAAAACUUCCAUUACAUAUUUAAGAUUACACAAUCCAACUCUUGCCCCACAAGUCCAGGGUCGAUCGUCUUACAACAUUACUAUCAGGUCUAUCUUGAUUACAUAUUUGCAAGUCCGAUUACAGACCAUUAUAAUAACUAUAGUUGUACUACCAAACAACGUAGUCUAGCAGCCUCAGCUUGUGUGAUGAGCCUUUUCCUUGCCUAUGCCAAAACCCGUUUCCGGGCAAAUCUCUUGGGUUGUGCCAAUCUCACUGCUCAAAAGAAUAUAAAGUAGAUACAAGAAUGAGCAAUCAAAUUGCUCAGCAAGUCAACAUAUCACAGAAUAACAAAUAACAAGAUAUGCAAAUAAGCCAUCGAAAGCAUAUCAAAUCAAAGCAACAAAACAGUUAUCAUCAAACGACAAAACAAUGUCAAGUAAAGGAACUGCUGGUCUUCCACCUCUCGGUAACACUACAUGGCUCGAUCAACACCAUUUCGUGAAUACCGUUCUCCUGUGUAGUCCUAGUGGUCUGAUCGUAACCACUGAAGACACACCAACACUCUCUUUGCUAGCAUCAGGGUUUAACACUGGAACCCCACUAUCUGCCUUACCAGAUAGUAAAUUUCAACUCUACCACGAAUUUAAUAAAUUCGUGUUGACCAGCUUGAACCGAUUCCUCCGAAUACAAGGAAAUUUUCCCAAACAAACACUUCUCAAUCAUCACUGCUAAUUUUUAUCAAAAAAGUGCGAACAAUGCACCCUUUCGUCAUUACAAAGAUUACCCGAAGGUAGAAGUGAAAGAUAAUUAAAAUAAUUAGAUUCCAAAAGAUAAGAUGAUCUCCAAAAAGAGUAAAUUGAGAUCAUCGCUGCCAAGUAUUCACAUCAAGCUUCGAAGAUUCAAAAUAUUAUCGUUAUAGGAUCAACUCAUUCCCGAACAAUGGGAGAGCUCGAAUUAUAUAAAAUAAUAUGUGAGCAAUAUCUUUAAAGCCUUCAAAAUGAAGCAGAGAUAUUUUCUCGAUUCACAAUGAUACGAAAUGUAAUAUUUUCACAAUCAACACUUUUCACAAAAUAUGAAAUAGGCACGAAAAACUUCACAUCAAGACAGGGAUAGUGAACUUGCCUGUCGUCCUUAGCUUGAUAAUAUUCUUGUAAUUAUCACGUAUAAUCGGUUUCAUCCUUCCGAAUAUUCAAUUUCUAAUUCACGUAAAAUAAUACUUUAAUAUCUCAUCAAAGAAAACAAAAAUGCCAAAAUAAUCUAUAUUAUGAAUCCGACAAAUAAUAUUAAGAAUUUGAUAGGAUAUCUAUCUCAUUUUCUUUUACACUGUAAACUAACAUAUUGUAUGUGUACAUGUAGUAGAUACACUUAUUUAAGUCCAGAGCCUAACUUUCUUUUAUCAACUACUAAAUAAAUCGUUUAUAUAGUCCAUAUUUGAUUAUUUAUUAAUGCUAUCUCUAUUUAAUUUUUAAACAAUUAUUCCACUUAUAUUUCGUUCCCCACAUUCCAUUUCUACUAAUCCAAGAAAUUUGUGGUUCAUCAUCACUUAUUCAUAUUUACUAAAUAAACAUCUAUCUGUCUAUUUAACAUCAAAAUCCUACACUCUCUAAUUAAUUCUACGUAUUCCUUUACCAACACUUAUUCACCAACCCAUUUAAUAAAUCGAUAAAUUAAAUAUAAAAAUCAUCUCCGCAUCCCCAAUUUAUUACCUCACAAUUAUUUUUAAUAAAUUCAUUUUAUAUUCUUAACUCAAAAUUAUUAUUAUUAUCAUUAUUCUCUCUCACAAAAUUUUAAUAUAUACCACCCCUCUCCCUUCUUCCUUUCCAUUGCCUCACACCUCCUCCUUUAACAACCUAUUCUGCUUAAUCAAUCAGCACAACCAAAACAGUUAAGUUAUUUAACCAAACUCAAAAUUCUUAAAUAGAAGACAUAAAACUCGUGUAUUAAUUAUUUUCAUGGCUCCUAUUUAAAUAGCUUUUAUUGAAUAAAAGAUGGGCUAUAAAUAUUCAAUAUUACCAUUAAUCAAAGAUAGAAAGAGAAUAUACCUUGAUGAUGGAUUCUGAUUCUUCUUUACUGUCUUGAGUUUUACUUGCUUUGGUACCUCCUGAAUUUGCCAAACUAAAACUAAACAACGUGUUUGGUAUUUAUACUAAUCAUAAAUCAUGGUUAAGAUUUAAUUUACCUUGGUUAACAAUUACUUGGGCACUACUCUUUGGUUUUUAAGUACCUGGUUUUGAUAAACCAAUGUGCCACAAACCACCCCAUUAGUCGGUUAGCUAGUUUUGUUAAAAUAUUUUUUUUUUAUUUAUUUAUAUAUUCUUUUUAUUUGCCCGUAUAUUAAAUGUUUCGCAACUGGAAAUAUUUUAGCCCCGGGUCAUUUAACAACUUCCUAUUUAAAUAUUUUAAUAAAAAAUAUCAUUCGGGAUUAUACUAAAUAAUUAAUUAAAUAAUUAUUCUAGUAUUUCUCUAAAUAUUUCAAAAUUUAAUAGUUAUAACGAAAUAUUUCUUUUAGCUAAACCCGUAAAAUUUAUAAUAUUCCCGGGCCAUAACAAAAUUAUACAUCUACCAAUUUAUUUACGUGGCCAACAUUUAGAUCCUAAUGGUACGAAAAUGGAUUUAAUUUGCUAGCCGAUAUAAACAAACCUCGUACUAGCCUGAAAUGUUUUACGUACCAAUAUUUUUAUUAAAUAAUAAUUUCACAAUUAUUUAAAUGAUAGCUUUAACCGCAUAAAAUUAAAUAAUUAAUUUGUUUACGUACUUGAAAUUUUACGGUUGUUACAUUCUUCCCUCGUUUAAAGGAUUCCGACCU